rfam:Picea glauca, whole genome shotgun sequence.
ACAUGGAUAUAUCAUAGAGUUAAUGCACCAUACCCCACUAUAACUUCACAGUUAAGCGCUCUAGGUCUAGAGUAGUACUGGGAUGGGUAACCGCCCAAGAAUUCCUACUAUUUUACAUGCC